UAGAAUAAACUUUCUACCACGGUUUUGAAAUAACCGUGGUAAAAUAUAAAUUUUCUACCACGGUUAUUUUAUAACCGUGGUAAAAAGUGUUUUUUACCACGGUUAUUUUAAAACCGUGGUAGAA